GACGAACGCUGGCGGCGUGCUUAACACAUGCAAGUCGAACGGAAAGGCCCUUCGGGGUACUCGAGUGGCGAACGGGUGAGUAACACGUGGGUGAUCUGCCCUGCACUUUGGGAUAAGCCUGGGAAACUGGGUCUAAUACCGAAUAGGACCACGCGCUUCAUGGUGUGUGGUGGAAAGCUUUUGCGGUGUGGGAUGGGCCCGCGGCCUAUCAGCUUGUUGGUGGGGUAAUGGCCUACCAAGGCGACGACGGGUUGCCGGCCUGAGAGGGUGACCGGCCACACUGGGACUGAGAUACGGCCCAGACUCCUACGGGAGGCAGCAGUGGGGAAUAUUGCACAAUGGGCGCAAGCCUGAUGCAGCGACGCCGCGUGAGGGAUGACGGCCUUCGGGUUGUAAACCUCUUUCAAUAGGGACGAAGCGCAAGUGACGGUACCUAUAGAAGAAGCACCGGCCAACUACGUG
rnacentral:rRNA from 1 species